rnacentral:rRNA from 1 species
CACUCCUACGGGAGGCAGCAGUGGGGAAUCUUGCGCAAUGGGCGAAAGCCUGACGCAGCCAUGCCGCGUGAAUGAUGAAGGUCUUAGGAUUGUAAAAUUCUUUCACCGGGGACGAUAAUGACGGUACCCGGAGAAGAAGCCCCGGCUAACUUCGUGCCAGCAGCCGCGGUAAUACGAAGGGGGCUAGCGUUGCUCGGAAUUACUGGGCGUAAAGGGAGCGUAGGCGGACAUUUAAGUCAGGGGUGAAAUCCCGGGGCUCAACCUCGGAAUUGCCUUUGAUACUGGGUGUCUUGAGUAUGAGAGAUGUGUGUGGAACUCCGAGUGUAGAGGUGAAAUUCGUAGAUAUUCGGAAGAACACCAGUGGCGAAGGCGACACACUGGCUCAUUACUGACGCUGAGGCUCGAAAGCGUGGGGAGCAAACAGGAUUAGAUACCCCUGUAGUCCCAUGAU